UUUGAACAGACUUGUGUAGGAUAGGUGGGAGGCUUUGAAGUGGGAACGCCAGUUCUCAUGGAGCCGUCCUUGAAAUACCACCCUGGUGUGUUUGAGGUUCUAACCUGGGUCCGUCAUCCGGAUCGGGGACCGUGCAUGGUAGGCAGUUUGACUGGGGCGGUCUCCUCCCAAAGUGUAACGGAGGAGCUCGAAGGUCGCCUAGGUACGGUCGGACAUCGUACUGAUAGUGUAAUGGCAUAAGGCGGCUUAACUGCGAGACCGACAAGUCGAGCAGGUGCGAAAGCAGGACAUAGUGAUCCGGUGGUUCUGUAUGGAAGGGCCAUCGCUCAACGGAUAAAAGGUACUCCGGGGAUAACAGGCUGAUACCGCCCAAGAGUUCACAUCGACGGCGGUGUUUGGCACCUCGAUGUCGGCUCAUCACAUCCUGGGGCUGUAGCCGGUCCCCAAGGGUAUGGCUGUUCGCCAUUUAAAGUGGUACGUGAGCUGGGUUUAAAACGUCGUGAGACAGUUUGGUCCCUAUCUGCAGUGG
rnacentral:rRNA from 1 species